AUGACAGGGCUGCAUCAGGACGACCACUUUGUCAGCGAUCUUCCUGGCAUGGCUCGGGCUGCGUUCGACCACUUCACUGCCACCAUUGGAUCCCAGUCCACGCGUGAUCACGCGCUCAACAUACGCAUGUUCGAUCAACGCCGCUUCGACCUGCUACCGCUUGAUGAGCCUUUUUCCGAGGACGAGAUAUGGAAUGCAAUCAAGGCCCUGCCGCUUGGCAAGGCGCCGGGACCGGACGGCUUCACGACGGAAUUCCUACGCUCGUGUUGGGCCAUCGUCAAAGACGACAUAUGUGCCGCUUUCGACAAACUCUACACUAUGAACGGCAUGGGAUUUCGCAAACUCGAUGAGGCGCUACUCAUCCUACUGCCCAAGAGACAAGAUGCAUCGACCCUCGCGCAUUACCGGCCGAUCAGUCUUAUACACCUCAUUGCCAAGCUCUUCGCCAAAGUCCUCUCCCUCCGGCUAGCGCCGCGUCUCCGAGAGAUGGUGUCCACGAACCAAAGUGCGUUCAUCGCCGGAAGGAGUGCGCAUGAUAACUUUCUUCUCGUCCAACAAACGGCCUGGCUCCUCCACAACCUCAAAGGCACUGCGCGUUCUUCUUAA
rnacentral:rRNA from 1 species